UACGGAGGGGGCUAGCGUUGUUCGGAAUUACUGGGCGUAAAGCGCGCGUAGGCGGAUCUGCAAGUCGGGGGUGAAAUCCCGAGGCUCAACCUCGGAACUGCCUUCGAUACUGCGGGUCUUGAGUCCGGGAGAGGUGAGUGGAAUUCCUAGUGUAGAGGUGAAAUUCGUAGAUAUUAGGAAGAACACCAGUGGCGAAGGCGGCUCACUGGCCCGGUACUGACGCUGAGGCGCGAAAGCGUGGGGAGCAAACAGG
rnacentral:rRNA from 1 species